AAAACAUUAUGCCAUCUUUACAGUAGAACCUCAAAGUUAUAAACACCAGAGUUACGAAGUGACCAGUCAACCACAGCCCUCAUUUGGAGCCAGAAGUACACAAUCUGGCAGCAGCAGAG